GUGCCAAUGACAGAAAAAUAUAACUAUUUGGAAAAGACUGCAUGAACAAAGGAACCCCUGAUGCCC